rnacentral:rRNA from 1 species
UACGGAGGGGCUAGCGUUGUUCGGAAUUACUGGGCGUAAAGCGCGCGUAGGUGGUUUGUUAAGUUGGAUGUGAAAAUCCCCGGGCUCAACCUGGGAACUGCAUUCAAACUGACAAGCUAGAGUAUGGUAGAGGGUGGUGGAAUUUCCUGUGUAGCGGUGAAAUGCGUAGAUAUAGGAGGAACACCAGUGGCGAAGGCGACCACCUGGACUGAUACUGACACUGAGGUGCGAAAGCGUGGGGGAGCAAACAGG